rnacentral:rRNA from 1 species
GAUGAACGCUGGCGGCGUGCUUAACACAUGCAAGUCGAACGGAAAGGCCCAAGCUUGCUUGGGUACUCGAGUGGCGAACGGGUGAGUAACACGUGGGUGAUCUGCCCUGCACUUCGGGAUAAGCCUGGGAAACUGGGUCUAAUACCGGAUAGGACCACUUCUUGGAUGUUGUGGUGGAAAGUUUUUUCGGUGUGGGAUGAGCUCGCGGCCUAUCAGCUUGUUGGUGGGGUAAUGGCCUACCAAGGCGUCGACGGGUAGCCGGCCUGAGAGGGUGUACGGCCACAUUGGGACUGGGAUACGGCCCAGACUCCUACGGGAGGCAGCAGUGGGGAAUAUUGCACAAUGGGCGCAAGCCUGAUGCAGCGACGCCGCGUGGGGGAUGACGGCCUUCGGGUUGGAAACUCCUUUCGCUAGGGACGAAGCGUUUUGUGACGGUACCUGGAGAAGAAGCACCGGCUAACUACGUG